rnacentral:rRNA from 1 species
AAUGAACGCUGGCGGCGCGCCUAAUACAUGCAAGUCGAGCGAGAAGACGUAGCAAUACGUUUGUAAAGCGGCGAACGGGUGAGGAAUACAUGGGUAACCUACCCUCGAGUGGGGAAUAACUAGCCGAAAGGUUAGCUAAUACCGCGUACGCUUCUUGGACUUCGGUUCAGGGAGGAAAGCGAUGCCGAGGGUAUCGCGCUCUUGGAUGGGCUCAUGUCCUAUCAGCUUGUUGGGAGGUAACGGCUCACCAAGGCUUCGACGGGUAGCUGGUCUGAGAGGACGAUCAGCCACACUGGCACUGCGACACGGGCCAGACUCCUACGGGAGGCAGCAGUAAGGAUAUUGGACAAUGGGCGCAAGCCUGAUCCAGCGAUGCCGCGUGUGUGAAGAAGGCCUGCGGGUUGUAAAGCACUUUCAGUAGGGAAGAAAGCCGAGUGCUAAUAUCACUCGGUCUUG